UCCUGAUGCCUGCUUUGGUGUUUUUCAGCUUCGUGCACUCUCGUCGAGAAAUUCAUAUCUCGAGCUUCGGGUGUUAGAUUCUUAAGACAUUUGUGUCAUUAUAAAUAAAAUACAGAUUGCAGGAAAAUCUGAAAGUAUCAUUUCUUAAUUCCUUUUGGAGUAGAUGUAAUAACUUCUUGAAUUCAUCUAGGUGUCUGCCAUGCAUUUGUUUCUGCUUUGCGCACUCCUGUCGAAAAAUUCAUAUCUCGUGUUAGGAGGCUCCAAAUUGGGAUCCGUUUGUGCCAUUAGAAAGUACACUCUUAGAUAUGAAAUACUUAAAAGUUUCAUGGCAUAACUUCUUUUAAUAUGGAAACAGAAAAUUCUCAAAAUCCACCUACCUACAGUAACUUUCAGAUUCGUGUUGUUCCAACAACAAAAAUUGUAUCUUGGGCUAGGACCCUCCGAAUCAUAAAUGGAUUAUGUUGAUGGAGACGAGACAUUCAAAUCUACAACAUAUAAAAUAUUUGGGGUAGAACGUCUUUUGGAUGGGCAACAUUAGUUUCCCAAAUUUGAUCUCGUCUUCUGUUGUGCUCGCUUCCCAUCUCUAUGCUCUCCUACUUGUCCUAUAAAUGUUUUUUUAAUUGAAAUUGACUUUACAGUCUUGAAUAUAGUAAGUUUAGCUAUUGUGCUUCAAAAUAUUUAUCUCUUUAUUUAUUUCUUUUGCAAACUUGCAAAGAAGUUCAAUGAGUCCAGAUAUUGGUCUGAGAUGUCAUACAAAAUGCAGAGUCAUCCCUUCACCAACUAUUGGAAUUGAUUUUUUGAUGGUCUUGAAGUUUAUCAAUGGCGGAUCCCGUGGUGAUUGAAGGUUUUUCAAGAGAGAUGACUCUUAUAUAUGAGGCAUUGAGGAUAAUAAUUAAAAUGUGAAUACGUCAUAUGAACUUGGAAGAAGCAUUCAAGAUGGGUCGGCCACAAAGCCUAGUAUUUUCAUGACUUAGGCUUUUUAUCGGAAAACGACUUAUUCCUUUUGUCUCUAUACUUUUGGAUAUACCAAUUUUUGUACUAUUGAAGCAAUAAAACAUCUUUUAUACUUCAAAACAAAUUGUCUCUUUUCCUCGUAGAUAUGUGUCUCUACACUUGGAAGAAUUAAUGUAAUGAUCUGAUGAUGCCAAACCUUUAUAUUUUUAAAACUCAUGCGACUAAACUUAGAAUAAAACUCUAAGCUGCCUACGCAUCUGUGAAGAGGAUCAAGUCAUAACAUAGUUUAGAGGGGUGAUUCUUUUUUCUUCUUUUUUAUGUCCUAAUUUUUUCCUAGGCCGCCUCUCAGGAAGUUUUCAACCUAGCUGACUUUUGUUUUUUUGCUUAGGACGCCUCUUUCGAGGUUUUCAACCUAGCGGACUAUUUGUUUUCUGGCCGCACACAGCUUAGACUCAUGUGGGCCAGGAGUAUCGAAACGUGAAGUUUAGGCUCAUGCAUUAAGGAGCAUCAUGACUUGCAGUUUAGGCUCGUAAGUCAAGGAGCAUAGGUACUUUCAUGGGAAGUACUGCUUUAAAAAUUUUCCGUUGAUCGGGCCAACUUUGAGACCAUCCUUAUUAACAAUUUUGUAUGCGCCACUUCGAUAGGCUUCCUUCACAACAUAUGGCACAUCCCAUUUUGAGGUAAACUUGUCGCCUAUGCGUUUGUUGAGUAUUAUGGGUCGCUAAACGGCUAGGACUAAGUCUCCAACUUGGAAUGAUCGUGGCCGCACUUUCUUGUUGAAGGCUCUAGCUAGUCGAUAUUGAUAGAACUCCCAUUUUUGUGGUGCUUCUAAUAUUUUUUCAUUCAAGGCCUUUAAUUCUGCUAGGCAAAGUUGAGCAUUCUCUUUGGAUGUGAGCCUUCUUAGAUUACGGUUAUCAAUGGUGAAAUUUUUUUCUCUAAAUGAAGGACUACUUCUACGUUAUACACCAAAGAGUAAGGAGUUGCUUGUGUAUCAGUUCUUAAGGUUGUCUGGUAUGCCCACAAAGCUUCAACAAUUUUCUCAUACCAGUCUCUCUUGUUCUUUAGAACAAUUUUCUUCAAUAGAUUUCCAAGUGUCUUGUUAAAACUUCAGCAAAGCCGUUGCGGGUGCAUUAUACAUUGAAGAAUUAUGUUGCUUGAAGUCGAACUUAUCAUACAAACUCUUCUCGAGCUUGCUGUCAAAUGGCGUUCCAUUAUCAUUGAUUACAUAUCUUGGUAUGCCGUACCUAAAAAUUAUAUAUGACUUGAUAAAAUCGACAACAGUCUCCUUUUUACCUCCUUGAGUGGAGCAUCUUCGGCCCAUCUAGAGAAGUAGUUUGUGGGGGCCAAUAUGUAAAUAUGUCCCUUUAAUGACUUUGGAAGCAGUCCAACAAUGUCAAGUCCCCAUGCAUCAAAAGACCAUGAAGAUACAUUUGGAUGAAGAGGCUUUAGAGGUUGGUGGAUGUAGUUGGCAUGAAAUUGACAUGCUUGGCAUCUUUUGGCAUGAUACAUGCAAGGUUUCACCAUUGUCGUCCAGUAGUAGCCCAUCCUCUAGAUGCAGAAAUGGAGCUUUGGAUCAGAUUAGUGUGCUCCACAUGAGCAAGAAUGUGCUUCCUCUAUCACUGGUGGGCUUCUUCUUUGUCAAGACAUCGCAAGAAUAGUCCUUCAAAGGAGUGGCGAAAUAAUGUCCCUUUGUAGAAGAUGAAUCGUGGUGCCCUUCACUCGAUGUCUAUUCUUUGUCACGGAUCCUCGAGUAACAUUCCAUGUUCAAGGUAUUCUAUCAAGGGUUACAUCCAAUAUUCUUCUUCAAUCGCUCGAACAUAUGUAUGGUGUUUUUCGUUGAUUUGAAGAUCCAGAAGUCUAGGAAUAAUCUAUCGAUGACACACAUAUACCUUUGUUGACUGAUUCUCUCCAAGUGCUAUCGUCGUGGCCAAGUUAGCUAAAGCAUCAACCUUGCGAUUUUAUUUUCUUGGGAUGUGGUUUAAGAACACUUUAUCGAAAUUUUCAAGUAAACCAGAAACGUAUUGGUAGUAUGGAAAUAGAUCUUCCUUCUUUAUCUCGUUGCUCUCCAACUGUAGAAUUUUCAUUUCUAAUUCCAUUUCGAGACUGACGAUCAAAUCUUGGUACUCUACGGCAUUGUUGGAGCAUGUUUCACCUAAAACAAAGGAGAAUGGCAAAACUUGUUUUUCUAGAGGGAUCAACACAGCAUCUUCCGCCGUACCGUUACGACGUGCAGAUCCAUCAAAGAACAUUGUCCAUGGUGGAAACUCUUCAAUGAACAAAACGUCUUUAUUUGGAAACUCAUCCGAAAGCUCCUAUUCCACCGGAAGAGGGUGAUUAUCCAGAAAAUUGGCUAGUGCUUGUCCCUUCACAACUUUUUGAGGUGUGUGUGUGAUCACAUAUUGGUUAAAAAAUAUAAACCAUCUUGCUAAGCAUCCAGGAAAAACAUGUCAUGUAAUCAUCAACUUCACGGUAACUACUCGAGAGAUGAGUUUGGUGGUGCAUGCUUCAAAUUAAUGCCUUGGAAUCUUUAUCGCAUAAAGUAACGCUAAGCAUAUUUUCUCAACAGACAUAUAGUUCAUCUCAGCUCCUACCAGAGUUCGGGUAAGGUAUUAUUAAUUGUUUGCAUUUUGUUCGUGCAUUUUAAUUAGUGAAAAAAUAAACAAAAAUAUUUUGCAUGUGAAAUUAGGAGUUCGUUCCACAUUUUAAGAAUUAUUCAGUAAUUAAGAUUGUUUUACAAAAAGGAAAAUCACAAAAAUAGUCAUCUUGCACCCUUUAAUUUUAAUUUUUGAUUUUUAGGUGAUUUUGCUUUUAAUUUUAUUUUAGUUAUUUUGUGAUAAUAAUUAUGUAGGAUUGAUUAUUAUUUUAUAGUUAAAUUUAGGAUUUAUAAUUAAUUUGGGAUUUUAGCAAUUUUUAAAAAAUGAAAAAAUGAUGAAAAGAAAGAGAAAAAAAAUCUGGAAAAUUUGAAAAAAAAAACAAAAAAGAAAGAAUUGGGCUAAUUAACCAACCCAAAAGUAACCAAAAGCCAGCCCAAACCACUCUCAAAUCCUGUCCAGCCCCUCCCCAAACCAAACAACGUUGUUUGGACCCAUUCAAUCAGGACCAUCAGGAUUCUUUAAUCUAACGAUCCUGAAACCGGGUUGAUUUAGUAUAUAAGUGUCCAAACGACCCCCUCCAAAACACCGCGUAUCCAACCUCUCUUAUCAGAAACCCUAGAGCCACCAUAACGCCACCGCCAACCAUCGUGCACCGCCGGCCGAAAAUCGUCUCCGCCCGCGGCGGAACCCCAAUCAGCGUCAAAUUAACACCACUGAUUCCCCUCACCUUCCUCUAUCCAGAUCUAUAUCCACUUGCCCUCGAAUCUUAGCCAAACACUUCGAAUAUUGGUUUGAAACACUGACUCUGUCACCGUGUAUGGCGAUGCCACCUCUGAUCACCACCAUUUUUAAACCCCAUGGUCCUCUCCUCUCCCUCAUGCCAAAUCCCCACUCAGCAUCCCGCAAACACCCGUGGAAUGUUUUGAAUAUUAAUUCGAAGGAGGCGGCCAAAACCCUACCACCACAAAACCACCCAAAAAUCACACCCUACAGUCUUAUCACCUCCCUCACCUCAGAACCACAGCUAGUUUCCCUCGAAUGUCCCCACAACUCCUCAAAUUCGAAUCUAGGAUUUCCGGAGUCUUCCAAAUGGUGCAUGAUGAUUUCCAGGGUCGAUCCAAGGAAAUUAAGCGAAGUUUUCGUAUUUGAUUUCUUAUUUUUCUUCGCCUCAUCUAUUCUUUGUGAAUUUGUUAGGUUUAAGUUGAAGUCAUUUGUUAUUCAGUCCUAAACGAGUUUGUUUCUGAUUUGUUAGUUGGGUUUUAUGUCAAAUUCCUGAGAUAAUAAGUUUAGUUUGUAUGUAUUAAUUUAAUUUGUUUAGUGACUAAGUUUAAUCAGUCCUAGUCGAGUCUAUUUGUGGAUUGGGUCUCAUGUUCCUGAGUAAUUUGUUUAAUUUUCUCCGUUGAGUUGAAUUUCAGACUAAUGCCUGAGCUUAUUUAGUUGUAGUCAGAUUUAUGCUAUUGAAGUUCCUAGGUCAAUUAGUCAUAGUUUUUUCUAUUAGGUUAAAUUCAUGAGUUUUAUUAGCUUUGUUUGAGUUUGUUUGGGUUUUGCUGUUGAUUUAUUUUCAUCAAUUUGAAGUCAUGUGUGUCAAUUUGUUUUUCAUUUUGGACUUUUCUGCAUUAUUAGAACAUGACCUUUGGCUUCUUAAGCUGGUUUGUUAUAUUUCAAAGCUUUAGGGUUUAUUUUGUUGGCUUAAAGUUAAGUAUUAAUUCUAAGGUGAUUAAAGUAAUUUCAGGGGUUAACAAGGGUAGUUUGGGUAGUUUCAGUUAAGAAUUUUAAGUAAUGGAAUAGAAGUCUCUAGAGGCUUCUAGUGUGGGGGGGAGGGGGGUUGAAUUGAAUUUUAGGGUUUAGGUAAUUUUAACUUAGAAAACAAAUCAUAAAUUGAAGGACUAACUAGCUAAAAAGAGGGAAACUAGAAAGGACUAAAGGGUAAACUUAAAAUCUGAAGUUGCCCUAGUAAAUUGCCUACAAAGGCAUUGUUACAUAGGGCUGUAGGGAGACUUUCUGAGCAUUGAAAAUCCUGAAAUUUCUAGGUAGCUAAAAAGCUUCUAAAAACACUAUCCCAUUAGAGUUUUCGUGAGAACCUGGAAUUUUUCAUUGUUAAAAUUACUUUUGAAUAUUCAAAGGCUAAAAAAUGAGUUUAAUCGUUUGAAUACUGGUUUGUUUUGAUCCAACUUGGGUCAGAGAUGUGAUAAUUGGUCUCCAUUGAUAUCACUUGGUUUAAAGUUUGGUUCAGUUGGAUUUCUCUUGGUUAUUCCUGGGCAAUUUUGCUUGCUUAACUUUAUAUUUGCUGCUGUUGAAUUCUGUUGUUGAUCUACUGCUACUGCUGUUAACUAAGCUCAUAGCUUCCCUGUUUAUUAUUGUAACCAUGUAUUUACUUAACCCUUUAAUGGCCAGAAGUUGUGGAAAUAUGUAGUUGAAGAUUGAUUCUGAAUAAAUAGUUGUCCAGAGCAGAUCUCUUCUUGCCUGCUACCUUGUUCAACAUUUGAUGCUAUUUUCUUUUCUCAGCUUUAAACUCUUAGAUCUAGUAAUAUAGUGUAGCAAUAAUUAGCUUAACUUAGUCCUUGUAGCAUAGUGGUAAUAUUCUGAAGUUUGUGCUAUCCUUGAACCUACUUGAAACUGUUAGAUUCAUGAGUUAUUCGAACAUUAAAGGACUGUAUAUAUGAACUUUAUUUAGAAACGUUCCGUUUUAGGUCUGUUCAUUUUGUAAUCGAUAUCUCGUCAGUUUAGGUCAUGAAGUUUGGACUUAAAAUGAAUAUGUGUGGUUCAUUUUGUAAUAAUGAAUGUAAUAAUGAAUGUGUGUGGUUCAUCACAAUACGUAUAAUAUGAGUAGGAGCAUGAAGUUUGGACUUAAAAUGAGCAUGUGGUCGAUUUGAGUGGGAUUGAAUUGUUCAUGUGUUUUACAAGAAAUUAUUAGGUUUAAUUAGGAUUGUAAAGUCAGUGUUGUUUAAAAUCCAAUUUAAAUUCAGUGUUUGAUCUGUGUUAAUUUAAUGGUCAAAGCUUGACAGCUUGUCUAGAAUAAAAUUUGGGGCCAAAAUUUGCCUAUGCAUGGCCCAACUUCGAUUUUUUUACUCGCCAACCUUUGGGUUUCAGGUACGGAUCCCACUUGUAAUUGUUACUUAAUUGACCAAACAGCCUUUGAUAGCCCAUAACCCCAUGAACGUUGAGGUCCGGCCUUGGGCUUGUCUUCUGGGCAGCGCCUUGUUUUGGUAUUUGGCGAUUAACCUUUCAAAUCACAGCCCACAUUUAAUGUUGGCUAGCAUAGCCACCCGUAUUAAUUAGCUUCAACGUGAAUACUUAGAAUCCAAGGCGCACCAUUUAGCGAACUUUCGUGGCCCUCGCAAAUUUAAACAUACGAAAUUGCUUUAAGCGAGCUAGUUAAGUAAUUUAUUUUCCUAAAUUCGGGUGAGCAUUUAUGUGACCCAAAUCCAAAUUCCAACGAUGUUGAAAUAUGUCCAAGACUACGGGUGCAUUUAUGUGACGUGGUUCGAGACACGUUUUAACAAUGUUGCAAUCUUCUAAAAAUAAAAAAAGCGGUUAUAAAGUUAAAAUUUACAUAUAGGUACAAAAAUGCGUUAAAAUCAUAUGAUCGAGCCGAAUAUAACAGUUGAGUGGAUGUGCUAGAAACACAGAAUUUGGGAGUGCCUAAUACAAUCUCCCAGGUUAACAGAAUUUCUUACCGCGAUUUCUGGCACUCAGACUUCAUAGAGAGUCAAACCUUCCUCGAGUCGGGAUUUAAACUGGUGAUUUGGGACACUAUUAAUUAUCCCAAGUGGCGAAUCUAAAAUUAUUAAAUAACUAAAUCCCGUUUCAGUUGUCCUUUAAUUGGAAAAACUCCCUUUUCGACGCCCUUCGUUGGGGUGUAGUAUGUUAAAAAAGAGGUGUGACAGCUCUGGCGAUUCUGCUGAGGAUCGAAACUAGAAUCUUUGGUUCAGGGUUCAAGAAUUCGAGCUUUAAAUAAUUGUUGUAUCUGGCUUUAUUAUUAUCUGAUUUUAUUGCAUAAUUGUGCCCAAUGUGCUAAAUGUUAUUUUUACCGCUCUAAUAUUAUUUGAACUGUAUAUAAACUACUGUGAAACCCUUCUCUUCUCAUCUUCGGGGAUGUGCUAGCUGGUCGAGACUCCCUAUUCUGUUAGUGUCAUACCUUCAAAUAAGAAAGAGGCUCGGACAAGUUACAAAGCCGGAUGACCUUUUGGUUCCCGGUACAUAGCCUCCUCCUCGACUCGAGUUGUCUACCUGGUUACACAGUAUAAACCCUAUACCAAGGUUUAAUUAAUCUUAUCGUUUAUCCUCUUUUUGUUUUAAGAUUAGUCAAAUGCAGUUUGUGUUGAAAUGAACUUAUGAUUAAUUAUAUGAUGAGUAAAUAAAUCCAUCAAGAGUGUACUAAACUACUAACUAGAAUCGAGUAACAAUAAAGAGGGGUUGAAAUCCCAUCAAAACCAUGAAAAGUGCAAAAUGUUUUCACUAGGUAAAGCCAAAAACCUCAAACCAAAAUCUGUCCAUCUUAUAUUUUGCUUAUUAGACACCCCCACAUUUACCCCACCCUCCUACCACUAAAAUUUUUGAAUUUGUAUUUAAUCAUAGUUUAAAAAUUAAAUACAACAAAGAAAGGCCGAAAUCGAAACUAGAUCAAUUGCAUAUUUAGUUCGUUAAAAAAUCCACGAGAUACAUAAACAUUAAUUAAUCCUCAUUAACUCUGUUUGUAUUCUGUGAUUGAAACCUCUUUGUUCUGUUUUACAUUUUUUUAUAGGAAUAUUUAAAAUGAGACGGAGAGAGAGACUUACAACUGUGUCGUCGUCGUGCGGUCAAACCACUGCAGACGCUGCUGGAGAGGAGGAACAUGACACCGCUGGAAGAGAGAAGGAACGUGAGCAGUGAGAGAGAAGAGAGAAGUGUGUGGGAAAGGAAACUAUAAUUAGAAAAAUAAGGGUUUCG
rnacentral:lncRNA from 1 species